UUAUCUUCAACAAUAGCGGAUGCACCAAAGCUAUUACCAGCAUCAACAAAAGUUGGAAGUCCACCAAUUGUCAAUCCAUGUUAAUAAGCUAGUAAAAUAAUCUUAUAAGCCGGCGAGAAGGAAUUGUUACUAAUAAAAUCAACGAUGAUGUUGAUAAGUUUCGGACAUUCACCACAAAGAGGUCUCAGAAAGGGCAUUUACCUCCUAAUUUUAUUAAGCAUGUUAUUGACAUGUUAUAUUUCAUCUCUCU
rnacentral:lncRNA from 1 species